CAGAGUGCUUUCUUAAGGGGAAGAAGUAUUCAAGAGAAUUUUCUUUAUGUCCAAAACCUCAUACAGAAUCUACACCUUGCAAAGAAACCCACCUUAUUCCUGAAGCUAGAUAUUGCAAAAGCUUUCGAUUCGGUCAAGUGGGAUUAUCUUCUCGAUGUUUUGAAGCAUGUGGGAUUCAACCAGAGAUUCCGAGAUCUGAUAGCUAUCUCACUUGCCUCUACCUCUUCGCGGAUCAUCCUAAAUGGUGCUCCUGGUACACCUUUUCUGCAUCGCCAAGGCCUGAGAUAGGGUGACCCGCUUUCGCCGUUGCUGUUCUUGCUAGCCAUCGAUCCACUACAGAGAAUUCUUGACAAAGCUAUGGAGGAACAUAUUCUCAGCCCAAUCAACCAUCACACUGCAUCUGUCAGAAUCAGCCUUUACGCAGACGACGCUGCCCUGUUCGUGAACCCUAUCAAAGCUGAAGUGUCUGCUCUUCAAACCAUCCUGGCGGCCUUUCACAAGCAUAGUUUCCUGGCUCAAGGCACGACCCAUUUCUGA
rnacentral:rRNA from 1 species